UUUCUUGCCCUGAGAUUGUGAAACAACAAAGAAGAUCACCAAGAUUAGACAUUGAAACCAGGACUAAGGAGUUGUGGGUUCAUCUAAACUCAUUUGGCUGAUAGAAGAACAGUGGAGGUCCUGCACACAGCAAGCACCAGGCUCAGAGGCAAGGGGACUGCGGAGUUUUCAGGAACUAUGAAGAAGCUUUGGAGAGAAGAGAAAUGACAGGAUCACAGGUACAUGGCUCACACCUGAAUUCUAAAUGCCUUUGUCUGAAGUUGCGGGUGAGACAAAGAAAAAUAUUGUUGGAAAAUUUUAUUCUAAAAUUAAAGGAAUUUUGAAUAAUAAGGAGGAAUGUUUCAAGCUAGAAGAAGCUGCUACAUAACAGCAAAGACUCAGCAUGGGUGGAUGGACAAAGAAAAAACUGGUUCAUCUUGAGAGUUAGCACAUACUAUGGUUGGAGGUCCCCCCGCCCCACUUCACAUGUUAAGCAAUUGUUGCUAUGGCCACAUAUCGAGAAGGAAGAUGAAAAUCAGAAGACGGACAGUUUCAAUUGGGAUAAUGAUGAAGUUUCUUUUGCCUUAAUCCUUUUGAACAAUGAGACAACAACGAUGACGACGAUGACACCACCACCACCACCAACAACAACAACUCUAUGUGGGGCCAGAGAGCUAUGGGACUGAGAGGAGCAGCCGUGGAGCAAGAGUGGGGUGGAGGCAAUUCAAACCCCUGAAAUCUCAUCCUGAGAUCUGUAGAAGUAGGAAUACUGCCGCCUCUGCCCCAGGCCUGUAUGUACCUGUGCACGCAGUCCAGUGCCCCCCACCCUUACCUUACCAGAGGAGGUCAAGUAGCCAGUGGCCAAUUUAAACUUCCUUUCCCCUUAUAAGUCAUGUGCAGCAGCACCUGGAAUUCCUCCUUAUGCAAAUGAGGCAUCCCCAGCCAAUGAGGUACACUCACCCUGAUAGCCCGCCCCUCAAAGCUUUUUUCCUCCUUCCACAAUAAACUGAAUCAGUCUCUGUAAGUGUAGCUGUCACCUUUUAUACAUAUCUACAACAUGAACAACUGAACCUGAGCUGCCCAACUGCAGUUGACUAUUUAAGACCGAAUCUGUACACCUAAAGCUCAGAGAACAUCUCAGAAGAGAGAGUGGAAAGAUUGUAAGAGCCAGAAGACCAGGAUGUCUGCUGCAAGAGAGUGUCUUUAUAUUUGGCUGGGAACAUACACCUAUGAAAUCCCCAUAAUAUGGCCACUAAACAAAACAAAUACAAUGUCAAGACCAGAUGGCAAACCACUGUGCAUAGGGGAUAUCUCACAAAGUCCUACUCCUAGAUGAAGAGCUACAGGCAAUUAAUGGCUGCAGAGAGAGAGAAAAAGAAUUAGUUUUCCCCAGGAAUAACGCCACUGAUAG
rnacentral:lncRNA from 1 species